rnacentral:rRNA from 1 species
UAUCUCUGUAGAGUCUGCAUAUCAAUAAGCGGAGGAAAAGAAACUAACAAGGAUUCCCUUAGUAACGGCGAGUGAAGCGGGAAGAGCUCAAAUUUGAAAUCUUCAAGGUUUUACCUUGACGAAUUGUAGUUUAAAGAAGUGUUUUCUGUUGAAGUUUUGGUAAAAGUUCUUUGGAAUAGGACAUCAUAGGGGGUGAGAAUCCCGUAUUUGACCAUUAUUUCCAGCUUUGUGAUACACUUUCAAAGAGUCGGAUUGUUUGGGAAUGCAGUCCAAAAUGGGUGGUAAAUUUCAUCUAAAGCUAAAUAUUGGCGAGAGACCGAUAGCGAACAAGUACCGUGAGGGAAAGAUGAAAAGAACUUUGAAAAGAGAGUUAAACAGUACGUGAAAUUGUCAAAAGGGAAGCGUUUGACACCAGUGUUGUUUUCUCGAAAAUCAAUUAAAAAAUGCUUGGAUUUUGUGUUGUAUUGACCUUAAAAGCUUUCUGCACUCUUUUCAUGUCUUUUUUUAAUGCACUUUUCGUUUAACAAGUCAACAUCAGUUUCUUUUGUUGUAAAAGAGGUCCAUUGGAAGGUGGCUUUCCUUUCGGAUGAAAGUGUUUAUAGCCUUUGCUCUCUGCAAUCGGAGAGAUUGAGGGUCUGCAGCGUAGAUCCUUCGGGGCUAGAUACAUUAGAUGCUAAGUUAUAAGUUUUUAUAGACAACUUGUUGACUAUAAUUAAUCAUGUAGCUUACUCGUUUGCGCUAUUUUACCUACGCUUAGGAUGUUGAUCUGUAGUGCGUGCGC